GGUGUCCUCCUUCAUCCCAGGCUGCCAGGCUAGGCAGGGGACAGCGGCUGCCCUGGUCCUCACAGCCCUGGCUACGGGGCUGGUGACAGCCAGAUCCUCAUGCUUCUGCGACCUGAGCGCUGCCUUCAGACACCUCUCUGCUGGCGUGUUCCUGGGUCCAUGUGAGCUACCUGUUUUGCUCUAAGAUACCCUGGAUGUGACGCUCAGCUCUGUCACUGGCUUCCACAUACCCCCUACUCCUACACCUCAAAAAUCCAUGUUCCCCACGCAUUCAUCUUCAGGAUGGAAGAAGGAAAAGUAUUUUUAAAAGACAAUCUGAAGCUCAUACUGUGACUGCAACAUAAAAUGUGUUCACCUGAGGAGACUGCUUUCAUCGCCAGUGUGUCACAGGGCAGCUGAUCCAGGACCGUCCACUUCCAAGCCAGCAGGAGGAUGGAAAAGCAGAAUGGAGGGGAAACAACCUCCUUUGCAGGGCGUGACUCGGAAGUUGGACACAUCAUUUCCAGCCACAUUCCAUGGACCAGAAUUAGCCCUGUGACCAACUCUGGCUGCCAGAAAAUCUGGGAAAUACAGUCUCUGCUUGGGCGAUCAGGCAGGCAGUUAUAUCUUUGGGAACAUCUCUCACCCCCUGGGAACACCUGAGCAGAAACUGAAGGACAUUUAACAGAUUCUCCUUUGUGUCUAAUAAGAAUUGCCCCCAUCAGUCGGGGCUGUCCUAGGUGCUGGGUACAUAGGUCAUCUAUACACAACCCAGCAAUGGAGAGCACACCAUUCCCA
rnacentral:lncRNA from 10 species